AUCAUCAUACGGUGUGUUUGUUAAAAGCAGGUUUUUUAUCUUUGACAUGUCGACACUGAAUCUAGUUCAAUUCCUGUAAACUGACAAUGCAAACUGACAAUGCAAAAACUGACAAUGCAAACUGACAAUGCAAAAACAUAGAAUAUAGCUUACUUUUCAAUGAAAAUAUGUUAAAUAUCUUGUUCGUGCGAAUGACCGCAUACCCAAGUAUUGCGGGCGUUGCAUUCCAUUCACAAAAUUAGGCUUAGAUAAUAAAUAUUUUGACUGAGGUUUGUGAUUGUUGCGUAUAUUCCUUUCAAAGUUUGUUCACAACCUUGAACGUCGAUAUUAAACUGAAAAAAGAGGUGCCAGAUCGAAUCUCUGGCUGUUAGUCUACAAUAUAAAGAUGAUGAAGUAUUUCUUGUCUAUCUUGGUCAUUUUUUUGGGCAUUCAUAAAGUUGUUUCCAUCAAGUGCUACAUUUGUGUGAACGACAAUAUAGAAAAUUGCUAUAAAACCAAUCAAACAUGCGACAGUAGCUUCGACAAGUGCUUCAGUAUGCAAAAAAUAGACGAUAGAGGUGGAAAAUGGUACACUAAACUGUGUGCGGAUGAAUGGUAUUGUGAGAGGAACGAGGGGGCAUGCAGUGACUUGGAUGGACCAGAGUAUGCUUACUUGGAUUGUAAUGUGGGCUGUUGUACGGACAACUAUUGUAAUGAUGUGCAAGGUGUUCGUCUAAGCCCGCUAGUAAUCACAUUAACCACGAUCUUCACCGUUGUCGCAUCUUUGUAUCAAUGGUAAAUGGACAACGUCGAAUGUUUUUGACAUUGCAAUCAUGGGAGGACUCCGCAUAAUUUCUCUUUCCAUAUUAGUGCUUUGCUUUUUCAUAAAAUGUGGAUUGUACACAGCAUUCAUUUCUUACUAAAAACGCAAGUUGAACAUUUUUAGGUUUUUGCUAUGUAGCUGCAUGAGUGUAACGCGUAAAAUCUGUAGUACAUUGGUAGUCGUCAUAUGAUGGGAAAUUCAUUAUUAUUAUUAUAUCUGUAUAAUUUAUGUGGAAAUGACUAGUGGGUAAUUUAUGUAAAUAAAACAUUUUUUACUAUAA